UACAGAGGUCUCAAGCGUUGUUCGGAUUCAUUGGGCGUAAAGGGUGCGUAGGUGGCGGGGUAAGUCAGGUGUGAAAUCUCGGAGCUCAACUCCGAAACUGCACUUGAUACUGCCUUGCUUGAGUACUGGAGAGGAGAUUGGAAUUUACGGUGUAGCAGUGAAAUGCGUAGAUAUCGUAAGGAAGACCAGUGGCGAAGGCGGGUCUCUGGACAGUUCCUGACGCUGAGGCACGAAGGUCAGGGGAGCAAACGGG
rnacentral:rRNA from 1 species